GGGCGUAUAGCUCAGUGGUAGAGCGCCCGCUUUGCAUGCGGGAGGUCUUGGGGUGAGUUUAAUAUUUCUC